AGCGCAGGUGGUUGUAUAAGUCUGAAGUAAAAGGCAGUGGCUCAACCAUUGUGUGCUUUGGAAACUGUACAACUUGAGUGCAGAAGGGGAGAGUGGAAUUCCAGGUGUAGCGGUGAAAUGCGUAGAGAUCUGGAGGAAUACCGGUGGCGAAGGCGGCCCCCUCGGACAAAGGCUGACGCUCAGGUGCGAAAGCGUGGGAGCAAACA
rnacentral:rRNA from 1 species